CCUACGGGUGGCUGCAGUGGGGAAUAUUGGACAAUGGGGGGAACCCUGAUCCAGCCAUGCCGCGUGUGUGAGAAGGCCCUCGGGUUGUAAAGCACUUUCAGUGAGGAAGAACGCCUGGUGGUUAAUACCCAUCAGGAAAGACAUCACUCACAGAAGAAGCACCGGCUAACUCCGUGCCAGCAGCCGCGGUAAUACGGAGGGUGCGAGCGUUAAUCGGAAUUACUGGGCGUAAAGCGCGCGUAGGUGGCUUGAUAAGCCGGUUGUGAAAGCCCCGGGCUCAACCUGGGAACGGCAUCCGGAACUGUCAAGCUAGAGUGCAGGAGAGGAAGGUAGAAUUCCCGGUGUAGCGGUGAAAUGCGUAGAGAUCGGGAGGAAUACCAGUGGCGAAGGCGGCCUUCUGGACUGACACUGACACUGAGGUGCGAAAGCGUGGGUAGCAAACAGGAUUAGAUACCCUGGUAGUC
rnacentral:rRNA from 1 species